AGGUGAUGCUAAGCCCGUGAAGCCCCCGGUUGUUGUCUUCGGAUGACGGCUGGUGUGGUGGAGCCGGCGGACCGAGCUUGUAGUAGGUGAGUGAUGGGGUGACGCAGGAAGGUAGUCCAGCCCGGGCGGUGGUUGUCCCGGGGUAAGGGUGUAGCCCGAGGAGCAGGUAAAUCCGCUUCUCACGUAAGGGUGAGACCUGAUGCCGAGCCGAUUGUGGUGAAGUGGAUGAUCCUAUGCUGUCGAGAAAAGCCUCUAGCGAGUGCUGUUGCGGCCCGUACCCUAAACCGACUCAGGUGGUCUGGUAGAGAAUACCGAGGCGUUCGGGUGAACUAUGGUUAAGGAACUCGGCAAAAUGCCCCCGUAACUUCGGGAGAAGGGGGGCCACGGCCGGUGAAGAGUCUUGCACUCGGAGCUGGUGGUGGCCGCAGAGACCAGCGAGAAGCGACUGUUUACUAAAAACACAGGUCCGUGCGAAGCCGUAAGGCGAUGUAUACGGACUGACGCCUGCCCGGUGCUGGAACGUUAAGGGGACCGGUUAGUCACAUUUCGGUGUGGCGAAGCUGAGAACUUAAGCGCCAGUAAACGGCGGUGGUAACUAUAACCAUCCUAAGGUAGCGAAAUUCCUUGUCGGGUAAGUUCCGACCUGCACGAAUGGCGUAACGACUUCUUGACUGUCUCAACCAUAGGCCCGGUGAAAUUGCACUACGAGUAAAGAUGCUCGUUUCGCGCAGCAGGACGGAAAGACCCCGGGACCUUUACUAUAGCUUGAUAUUGGUGUUCGGUUCGGUUUGUGUAGGAUAGGUGGGAGACUGUGAUAUUCGAGCGCCAGCUCGGGUGGAGUCGUUGUUGAAAUACCACUCUGAUCGUGCUGGAUGUCUAACCUGGGUCCGUGAUCCGGAUCAGGGACAGUGUCUGGUGGGUAGUUUAACUGGGGCGGUUGCCUCCUAAAGAGUAACGGAGGCGCCCAAAGGUUCCCUCAGCCUGGUUGGUCAUCAGGUGGUGAGUGUAAGUGCACAAGGGAGCUUGACUGUGAGACUGACGGGUCGAGCAGGGACGAAAGUCGGGACUAGUGAUCCGGCGGUGGCUUGUGGAAGCGCCGUCGCUCAACGGAUAAAAGGUACCCCGGGGAUAACAGGCUGAUCUUCCCCAAGAGUCCAUAUCGACGGGAUGGUUUGGCACCUCGAUGUCGGCUCGUCGCAUCCUGGGGCUGGAGUCGGUCCCAAGGGUUGGGCUGUUCGCCCAUUAAAGCGGUACGCGAGCUGGGUUUAGAACGUCGUGAGACAGUUCGGUCCCUAUCCGCUGCGCGCGUAGGAGUCUUGAGAAGGGCUGUCCCUAGUACGAGAGGACCGGGACGGACGGACCUCUGGUGUGCCAGUUGUUCUGCCAAGGGCAUGGCUGGUUGGCUACGUUCGGGAGGGAUAACCGCUGAAAGCAUCUAAGCGGGAAGCCUGCUUCGAGAUGAGGACUCCCACCCCCUGUGUGGGGUUAAGGCUCCCGGGAGACGACCGGGUUGAUAGGCCGGAUAUGGAAGACCUGUGAGGGUUGGAGUUGACCGGUACUAAUAAGCCGAGGGCUUGACCACACAUGUUUCGCGUCCACUGUGCAGCUCUGAAACCACAACCA
rnacentral:rRNA from 1 species